CACCUCUGGGGCUUUGGCUCCUUGCCACAGUCUGAGUGACAUCCCUGUCAGAGGUAAAUCAGUGGUGCCUGUGUGUCUUUCCCAAAGCACUUUUCUGUCUCCUUUUGCCAGUGUGAUCCUUGCUUGGUAGAAGGGGUUUCUCUUGGGCUUGAUGGCUCUGGGGGAGCAAGUAAGAAAAAGGAGGGUCUAUGUGAUGGUACUACCAGGAGGGUUACAGAUCCCAAAGAGGGGAGUGUCUGAUUGCUGGGAUAGAGAAACCCUUCCUUGCUGAGAGCAGAAUACCUCCCUCAGAUCCCAUCACCAGCCUGAGUGUCUGUGGACCUUGGUGUGAACUAGCAGCAGUGUGGAAAAUAAAUAAUGUGGCUACAGAUUGAAGAAAAUGAGCCAGGAUGAUGCUGGUCUAGGGACAAUUUCCCCUUUCCAACUCAUGGGCUUUGGAUUCAUGGCAUAUUUCUUGAGCACUGAAGAAUCAAAAUAUUUCCAAGACAUUGCUUGGUAGAUUUGAUUUUGGAUAGACUUCCUAAAUUUUAUUUGGAUCUUGAUGGCCUGUCAGUUUAUGAGGCUUAGGCUGUUGGGUUUUCCCUUCUAUGGCAGCAGGCAAUAGGCCUUUGUUCUUUGUGUCCUCUGGGAGAUAGUCCUGUGUCCCUGAUGUCCCCGUGGGUGAAUAAUGUGCCCACAUUUGCAGGAUUUCAGUAUUUUCCCAAUACAGAUUUGUUAGUGACACCAUUUAUAGGUCCAGGACUGGAGUUGUGACUCUUAGAUCAUGCCUGAUGUAGUUGUAAUUAAUUAUAUUAUUAUUGUUAUUAUUAUUAUCAUCAUCAUUAUUAUUACUUUAAUUACAAAGCAUCCCACCUGACCAAGGCAGUUACUGUGCACAGUGUGGCCAGUGGUGGGCAGACGUUGGCCCAUAGAAUAAUGCCCACUGCUCCAGGUGGGAUUCUGAGGAGCAAACAUCACCUGAACUGUCCAGUCUGCUGAAAGGGUCAGUCCUGGAUGGCUGGAGGCAGGGCAGGAUCUCUUCCCAUCAUUUUCCUGGUGAACUCUGAUGAAAGAAAAUAGGGACAUUCCAGUUCUUGCAACUGGUCUGAAUCUCUAUAAAUGCACUUCACUUUUCUUUUUUUUCUUUUCCUGUUCCAAGUAUGGAAUUUCCUCAAACUAUAAAAUUUGAAAGCAGAUUUGAUUCAACAAAAUCUCUCUGCAUGAUAACUUUUAAAGUAUGGUGAGGAACUCAAUUUAAAACACUUUAAUUCAAUCAGCAGGCUGUAGGAACUAAUCUACAGUGGCCCAAAGGCCUGCUAAAAUUAGUCAUGGUUUUAUAUUUUUGGAAGAAAACUCUUUAGGGGUGCCUCUAUUGUUACAAAGAGCAGGGCUUUUGACUAUGACUGUCGGUAGGGUUAAAUUCAAAUAUGCAAGUGCAGUAGUUUAAGGAAUAAAUUCCAGAAGCUGUUUAAGGCUCAGCUGCAUUACAGAGCAACGAUCAGGUUGGGUUAGGCAGAACUACCAUAGACUGAAACAUCUGGAAUAAUAUCACAUUUCCCCAAAGUGGAAUUUUCUUUAAGAGCAGCAGCAAUUGCUGAUAUUUGAGAGGGUGGAGCCAGCAGUAACCUACAAAUGGCUGGAAAAUGAAUUAAGUAUUUAUAGAGUGAAAUAUUGAGACUUUGUCAGGAAUCAUGAUUUUGAUUAUGAUCUCUUCUUUAAAGCAUCAGCUAAUUCUGAGAACUGGGGCUUUCCAGGCUGUGGGGAUUGGUUGGACAGCUUCUGCUGCAGCCAGAACUCAGCUCCUUGGCACUUGGCUUUUUAGUCUUUUGAUGAAUUCCAGUGAAACAAGUUGUGGCAAACUGAUUUGGAGCUUUGGAGCCAGAAUAUGCAUGAAAAAUCUUGUAUGAAACGAGAGAUUGUUUUGUAAAAAAUUUGAAUGUAGUUCAGUUUAAAUAUGCUUGAUUUAAAAUUGUAAAUGCUAUUUUGAUUUUUAAAAGAAAGAUAAAGGUUUCCUCAAUUCUUGCAUUAUGGGUGUAUUUUACACUUGAAGGAUACUAUAGAAGACUUGAAGUCUCAAUUGCAUUUAAAGUAUUUUUUAUUAAAAAAUCUGCUUUGACUACAGAGAUAUUUUGUAUAAUUGUGACUUCAUCUGUUAAUUUUGAAGGAAUAUGUCUGGAGAAGGAAAACAUUCCCAUGCAAAUAACAGUUGUGCAGAACAAGAAACAGAAAGGUGCUUAAUCACAAGCGAGCUCACUCAUUUUAAUUUACCUUGGACCAUAGCACCAAAGAAAAAUGUCAUUUGGAAAAAAACUCUAAUCAGAUAUUUACAAUAUCCAGUUUUUCCAUCUUGUGGAUUAUUCAGCACUACAGUUAAUGGUGUUUUACAUCAAGUUUUCAAUACAUUUAGAAUGUCUGCUACUGUACACACCCCAAAGCCAGCCUGAAUCCACAUUUUAGAAACAACCUAAAUGAAGGGGGGUUUUAAACAAUUUCACUGAACAAUGAAAUUCAACUGAGUAACUUAAGCUGAAUUUCUUAAAUCUGAGUCAGUAACGGGCUCCCAAAAUAUCAUGCACAAUAGAUUGUAACAAAGGAGCAAAACUUCCCUGAAUGUUUGCACAGUGUUUGUUACUGCAACUCAAAGUGCUACUCUGAGAUUAGAAUUACUUUACUCCAAGUCCCAGCCUAAAUUUAGCUCCAGAAUUCAUACUGCACUCGCCUCAUUGGAAGAGUUUGGUUCUCUUGAAGCAUAUUUGAGCUAGUUUUGCAUCUCCUUGGGGAAUAAAUUACAGUCUGAAUGAGAACAUUCACACGUAUUUAUGGCAUUAAUGCUCUGUGCAGUCGGAGGGGUCUGUGUGCAGUCAGCCUUUAGCACUAAUGCUACCUCUAGCCACCUUCCAGGGCUUCAUUUAAUUUCUGUAUCAAUGGCCAUCAAGGGCAGUGAGAAACAGUGAAACAUUUUUUUUCUGACAGUGUUUCUUUGCAAACACAGCAAUAAGUUUCUCAUUUUAGAAUUUCCAUCAGAGUGAACUCUUUCCCCCUGCCCCAACCCAGCCCCAUGUGAGUAACUUGUAUAGCGAGUUGUUUCACAUGCCCCAAAUAAAAAUGCAAUAAAUCCAAAGCAAGGAAAAUGCUUAUGAGCCAGUUUAAAGUGUUAUGUAACACUAGUUACAUAAAGUUUCUGAUGUCUUUAUACUUUUAAGGUAUUAUUGCCUUUAAAAAGAACACAAACUGCAAUUUAAUUUCAAAACAUUUGAUAGUAGUUUUGCCUUAAAAUAAAUAAAUUUGGCUUGUAGAUGUGGCUGCAUCACAGAAUGAAUUUACAGCUCUCCAAAGAAACAGCAGGUGUGCCCAGUGCUAAAUAAAACAUCUCCUGUAAGCCAGCAGAGAUCUCCUGAUCUGCACCAGCCCAGGAUUUGUCCUGUGCUCUAAUUUUGGUGACGGGUAAUGUUUUCAGGCUAACAGUCACGAGCACACUAUCAUUUUAUAGCACUGUGCUCAGAACUGUUGGGAAAUUCUGAUACUUUCAAACCUUCUAUAACUCUGAAGUGUGUUUUCCAAACAGAAAUAUUUAAUAACUGGUCAGCUAUCAGUGUUGCAUUAAUGCCAAAUUAUGGUCAGUUGUUUGCAGGCAGCAAGCAGGGUUUCAGUGCUGAAAAAUACCUCUGAAGAGGCUGUUACAAAGCACAGGGUGAGCUGUGCUGUGGGAUGUGUGGAUGGGAUUAUAACCCCUGAAGCUCUGACUCAGUGGGCUGCAAACAUAAGGGUUUCUUUAAAACCUGUGGUCAGGAUCUUGUGCUACCUGUGCCUCUCCUGCACAGGUGGCCUGUGCAGUUCACAGGAGGUGAACAGAAGCAGUCACCAGGCUGAGCUCUUCCUCUUGUCUCCUGUCCCACUUAAGUAAAUUCACAGCAGGAAGGAAACACUUCAGUCUGGGUGAAAGAAAUGUAGUACAUCCCAAUACAGCCUCCAGAAAUAGUCUCCACCUGAAUGAUUUCCACAGCAACUGAAGAUUUUACCUUAAAUUAAAUUUGCUAUUACUUCACUAUUCCAGGCACAGCUCUGAAUGUAAGCAGUGCUGCUGAGCUAUUAUCUGACAGCCAGAAGCCUCUUGUUCAUUAAAAGUAUUUUUAAAGGGAUAGAAUUUUCACUUUUGCCAAGCAUUUCUUAUGCCCCAUACAUACUGAAGGGCAGUCAUGAACCUGGACACUUGUAGAGAAUUAACCGGUAACAUCUCAUUCUCACUGCAGUAUCUCAUUAGAAGUAUCUGGCAAAAUGAUUCAUAAUUCACCCAACAUGGAGUUCAGUUAACUUUAUCAGUCUAAACAGUGGGUUUUUGGUCUGGAGUUCCCCUCAAGGCAGAGGAAAGGGGAGAUGGCUCCAGGGUCCGGGUGUCUCACAGGGAGAGGGAGGAGGAGGCUGGGAGACAGCUCUUACCCCACUAAUCAGGAAGUUUGUACAAUCAGUUUUGAGUCACAGAUGUGAAGGCUCCCCAGCAACUGAUGCAAAUGGAAAGGUUUUUAACCACAUAUUUCAGUUAACUCUUAGAUUUGCUUGAUGGCUUUGGUAUGAGAAGUCUAAAACUUGUAGAUGAGAAGCUCCUCCUGUAACAGGGGACUGGUGGUUGGGCACUGAAUAACCACGGGUGCUGAAUACCCACAGGCACCAGCACCAGGGUGUGCCUGAAGCACCCAGCUAUUCUGAUUGUUGCUGUGAUUUACUUUUAAUCUCUAUGGCAAGUGAAUUGGGUUUUUUAAAAAUCUAUUCUUAUGGCUCUAAACUAAUAACAAUUUUUAGGACACCCAGCUCAGCUUCUUUUUUUAGUAGUGCUUCAAGAGGAGUAAGUGCACCUGGGCUUGGUGGCCGUCUCUCUGGGAACUGUGGGGUUUUUUCUCUUCUCUGUUGUGCCCCAAUAUCCAAAAUAGACACUUUUCAUGAAUAUGCUGGCAAGGAACAGCAUGUGAUGGGAUUAGUGAUGAGGCGAAGCCAAAACAUUUAUCAAUUAUUGUAUCUGUUUACUUCCUCAAAGAAGGCUCCCUUCAGAGGCACGUGCCUCCGAGCUUGUAACCAAACCCUCUGUGCUCUGCCUCGCUUGUUGAAAAUUGAUUUGCACAUGCUUUGCCCCAGUGGAAGUCUCUUGGCUUGUCCCUAUGCAAUGUCACUGCUGGUGGGUGUUCCCUGCCCCUGGGAUGCUGGCACUGCACAGGGGUCACACGCCUGCCUCGAGGAGUGGCUCUGUCCGCUCCCUGCAGGCUCCCCGAGUGCACAAAAGGGGCAGUUGUGUCUUUAAACAAAUAAUGGAGCUUUCUGGUCCCAGUCUUCUCUACUUGCUCCUCCCCAGGGAAUGGACACAAUUUAACCUUCCUAAAUUAUUAUGAACUAGGAAUAAUCCAUUGCUGGAAAGGUGGAAAAGCACAGUGAAAAACAUCCCCAGGUUCAUGUAAGCUGUGGCUAAUGAAAUGUGGAUUUACGUGACCACCCAUAGCUGAUGCACAUUUUAUGCUUGACUUCUUCCAUGCGAUGAGUCCACUGCUAGCAGGGGAAAUAGUUUUAAUUAUAUGCUCCAUAUUUUUUUUAGGAGUUUGUACACUGCCCAGACAUAAGGGAACUAAUUCACAAAGUGUGCCAGUAGAAUUAAUCUAAGUUCUUACCUGCAGCAGUAUCCAGGCAAACUAAAAAACUAAGCCAAAUGCUUUUUAAAAGCUUGUAAAUGACAAUAAUUAGCUCAUGUUUUAAUUCUAAUACAUUCUGACCAUAUACAUAGUAUUGUAAUGCUCAUAAUCAGUAUUGGUGCAAAAAUUAGGAGAAUAAGUCCUAAUUUGUAAUUUUUUAGAAAGUCAGAAACUGGACUUUGUGUGAAUUCUUUGGAGUGUAUGAGCACAGGAGUAUUCUUAUAUUCUUUCCACUUAUUUGACCUCAAAGAACUGGCAAAUGGAGAGCACCAGAACACCUGACAGAUCUACUUAAAGCUCCAGGUCAGUAGCAUGCUUAAGCACAUGCUUAACUUAAAGCAUACAAUUAAUCACAUCCCUUGUCCACAGAGUAAUUAAACUUGUGCUUAUGUACUUUGUACAGCACAGUACCUGCCUGCAGGCGUUCUUUAAAUAAUACUGUGCCUGUGAGAAAGUGGUGAAUCAGAAAGUGAUUUUUGGCUGGAGUUUGAAAAUGAGCUUAAAAGAGUGAGUUAGGCACCCAGAACUUGUUAGAUUUGAAUAGCUAUGGACAAGCUGGUCUUGUCAGCAAAGCUGAGUAAGUAGCAAGGUGUGGCCAUUUACUUUAUGGUAAUGCCUCAGUUUUGUUUAAAGUGAAAUUAUUUAAAAAACCCCUUUUGCUUGGUAAUUUCCUGCUGCUCUCCUGUAACUCUUUGCUUUCCUGGGCAGACCAGCAGAGCCCAGGCUGGGCUCUUGCUGGCAGCUUCUCUCUUAACUCACUGGUCAGGGUUCAGGUGGGUUGGGCACUGGGGGCAGUACUGGCAGGUCAAGGCCAGUGGUGUGGCUGCUGUUCCUGUCAGUGAUCAGUCUGGGCUGGUUGGCCAUGCUCUGGUUAAUUUGUUGGGAAUCAUGAAGCCUCUUCCAGCCACAGCUCCUCCCCUGGCAUUUUUCAUGUACAGCUCUACUGCUGUCCCUUUCUCUCCCUGUCCUGGUGCCAUCCAAUUUGAUGUGUCAGUCAUGGCCCCAGCGAGCUCCCACUGAGCUGCUCUGGGUGUGCUUUGCCCACACACAGGCGAUUUGACCAGGCAGCACUGCCAUCUUUGCCAGCUUGAGCCAGCUCAUGGUCUCUUGCCACUCAAGAUGAGUGUAAUGUGGCAGCCUCUAGUAGCUUGAGAUGACUAAUUGUUUUAUUUUAUAUACUUAAAAGUCAGCUGCUUUAAUCUGCUUGUUCUCCAAGGCUCUGUGUAUAAAUGCUAGUGAGGUCACCAUGCUGAGGCAAACCAGGGCAGCGUCAAAAGUUCCUCUUUGAAAUAUUGGUGCUGGGUAUCUGAAUGGUGGGAGGCUCGUUUGCAAAGCAGCCUCUAUGGAAAGUCUGUGUAAUGUGUUUGAUUAUCCAACCUUGCCAUUUUCAAAGGGACCCAGUCAAGAUGAACAGAGCCUAAAUGUACCAUCUCCUAAAAAUAACUCUGGCUUUCCAGCUCCUCUGCUGAUGUUGGGAGUGGAAGAAAAAAAGUGAUCCUUCAAAAUGAAGACUGUAAAGAGAGAGGAGGUGUUCAAACCCACCUCUUUUCAGCCCCGGAGGAUGGGUGCUCUUGCACUACUGCUCAAGUGCUCCUGCACUUUGGGGUCCCAGGCACUGGCUCUCCAGGAUAGGAACUCAGCUGGGCAGCUCUGCUGGCUACAAUGACAAUGGGGACAUGGUCUGUUCCUUGGCAAAGCGAGACACUUCCUGAAUUUUCCUAAUGUGUGUUUUUUUAAUUUUUUGUGGGUGAGGGACAGGGGCAGGACUGCCCAGGAUGCCUCACAGUUCUCACUGUGCAUUCCUUUUGUGCUGUACAGUUAAUACUUCUUUGGGAACUGCUCCUGUAAUUUUCAAGAUGGUGAUCAGCCUGAUCUUGGUUUUGAGAGAAAAAUCAGAGCCAUGCCUCGCUGCAGAAAGCAAACCCCACAUGUAAUGGUUUCUGGAAUUUUUGCCAGCGUUUCUCCAAAGCAGCUCAUUAAUUUCAGGGCCAUGCUGCUAUGGGUUGCUCUCUUGGUGGUGUCCACUGGCUCAUGCACCUGGAGUCAGCUCCAAGUUUGGGAAGUGUACAGUCCCAGAGUCCUCAGAGCCUUGGUGUGCUUUCAGCUGCUCUGAAGGCAGCCCUUGGUCUUUUCCAAGAGCCAUCACUGCUGCCAUCUAAACCCGGAGGCUGAAGCUCUUGUCCGGGCACAGCAGGAUCGGCAGCUGCUGUUUAAAAGGCUCAGAAUCUCUCCUGUGAGUGGGUGUUACUCACUUGGUAAUACCAGUCCAUUCCAGCUGAGGAUCUGUCCCUUUGUUUUGUGUAUGGGACAAUUUGUUUUCAAUUUUUGUUUCUGAAAGGAAACUGUCAAGACAAAAUUCACACUCAAAAAAAUUAAGGGAAACAGCCCUUUGUCCGUUUCUAACAAUCCCCUUCCAUGACUAAAGCUGGAAGAAUUCUAGCAACUGCAAUAAUUUUCUACCUUCACUUUGGUUUCGUUCUGCUCUUGCAUUUUGUAAGUUUCAGAUACAGCACAACAAAAAUAAUUUGAGUUAACAUCGGUGUAACCUAGAGGUGUGUGCUUUGAUCAUCAGAAUCUGAUUGUGCUUUAUCUAGAAGCGGGACAGGAGCAGCAGGGAACCAAGAGCAGCUUAGGCAAUAUUCACUCUUCUUGUAGUGCAGAGCCUCGUGCUGGCUUUGCAAUCUGAGAGGGAACUUGCAAAGCCUCUUUGGAGGGUGUUCCUCUUCAGCAAAUAUCCAUCCUCACUCAAUUCUGCCAAUCACCCAAUACCAGUAAAAUAAAUCUGGGGAUGAGGCAGCUUGUCCAGGCUGCAACAACUCCAGUUACAUUUUCUGUGCCCUGGGUCUGCUCUGCCUGCUUGUGCUGGGGUCCUGGCUGCCGGGGAGGUUGUGCUUUCCCUGGGGCAGGGGCUCAUCAGAUUUUCUUCCAUGGUGGUACAGCAGCCAGUGCUGCAGGGACCUGGUCCUGCCUGGGGCUCCCCUCAACUACAGAGCUGUUUAUUGUCAAUCCAAGGAGAAGGAAAAAACCCAAACUUUUGAAAACAAUAAUAACAUCUCAUUUUCAUUUUAGUCCUAAAAACUACUUGAUGCUCAUUCCAAAAGAAUUGAUUCCUUAAAUGAAUGAAGCAGCCAGGAGUGCUGUUUUCAGUGUGGGACUGCUGAUGCUCUGACUCAUGCUCUGCUUCUCUCGGGCUCUGGCUUUUAUGCUUCAUUUAGGAUACCAACGUCAUUACCAUCCAGAGGGCUGCUGUCUUUUUUUUAUUAUUAUUAUUGUUACACUGCAGUUGUAACUUUCUCAAAGAUGCAAGUAGUAUUUGGAUCUGAAUCAUGGCUCAUGUUCUAUUACCAAAUCAGGGCAUAGGGUUUGCUUUCAGUUGACUUACAGAAGAAAUUGUAAAUGCAAGUAAGGUGCAGUUCUGAGAGGGUCUCUGGGGGUUUUGGAUGCCAGGUUGUCUGUUACUGUGGAGUGUCAUCACAUGUGGGAUGGGUGACGAUAUUUGUCUUGUGUUGCACAGGGCUUGGACCUUUGUUACUCCCCAAGCAUCCCUGGUCACACCAGCUGUGUGCAUGUCCCUGGAGAUGGCUUUUAUGAAUGGCAGCAUCUGAAAACGUGAUGCUGGCAAAGGGUCCUUUGCUGAGGCACCUUUUUAGUUGGAAAUGUAUAGAUGUUCUUCAGAUAUUAAUUUAGCUGAAAGUUGUUACGAAACCAGAAGUAAUUUCUUAAAAUUCUCAGCUUUAUUAAUAAAGGCAACUGCUCCUGCAGAUUGGUUGUGAGCUUUCCUGCUGGGACCUGGGUGCUGCGAGUCCCCCUGGAGUUGCAGGUUAUGACCCAGUGUGGGAUGUAUGGGGCCAGUCAGCCCUGGGAUCUCCACUUCCCCUGGCCAAAGCCCACUGCUCAGCUGGGUGCCAGAACAUGGAGCACCUGCAGGAACAAGGUAAUCCUGCCUUUUGCCCCUGUGGCUGGGGUGUUGCAGGGCUGCCUGCAGCGAACUGUGCCAGGCUCUGUUUGGUGGCAUUCUUGCGAGUGACAGACAAGCCACCUGGCAGGACACUGACACUCGGCACAGAGCUCACUUAGGGGGAGCCCACAGGGAUGGCAAAGCUGUUGCCCACCUUGCCCUGCUGUGUGAGCUGGGGCUGGGGCUGGAGCCCUGCUGGGUACAUCAGCUGGAGAGAACAGACCCUGACAGACCCUGCCCUCCUGGGGACCGACUGAGCGGCAGCAAGAAAAAUGAGGGACUUUCAGGGGCAGCUGUGUUUUACUAACCCAGUCAUAAUGCCCCUAAAAAUCCUUAUUGUUCUUGCAAUAGUCAACUGUGGCGUGGGGAGGCCUGGAAGGAAAGCUCGAGGGCAGGCAGCCCUUGAGAAGGAGGCUGGCAGGUUGGGUUGGGUGUCAGGCUGGGACAGUGUUUCUGCUGGAGUGGAACUAAAGGGACGGCUGUUGUGACCUGUGGUGUGGAGCAUGUGCUUCUUAUGAUGCUCAGGGCAUGAGAACUGGAGCACAAAGAUGGGGAAAUUAAACAAGCCAAGUGCUUUCCAUCCCUGUUGUGUCUGUCUGACAUUCCCCCCCACCAGAAAUAAAUGCAACUAGAGAGAUGCACCCCAAGCCCACAGAAAGAGUCCUUACCCAAACCAUUCCUCCCCUCCCAAUUCUGUUUUACUCCUCUUUCAGCAAACUCAUUGCAGAUCUCUGAUCAUCCACAGCAUCUUUCCCUGAACUUUACUCCUGCUCUCCUAUCUCAGAUCAGACUGUGAUGAAGUCAUUGUGUGCAAAGAAGCAAUUUGUUAAACAGAACCAUAAUACUCAAUUAUUUACCAUCUUUAUGCAUUCUAAUACUUUAUUUACAUUUCUGAGAGCUUCUGUUUGCUGAGUAAAAGUUUUUAUUUUCGUUGAACUCUGCAGCAAUGUUCAAAGCUUUUAUCCUUUAAUAACUCUAGGGGUAUGGAUAGACAAAUUAAUGGCUCCCUAGCCCCACAGCAGAAGCAGUCCUUCCACAUUGUCUGUGUGGAUUACAGAUUACCUAUUCAUUACCCUUCUGAAAAGGCUUUGUUUAUGGCUUUUAGCAUUUUUAUGAAUUAAUUGAUAUGAUUAUCAAUUAAUUCUGCUUUAUAUGCCUAUGCCAAUAGAUUAGGAGUGCAUGCUUUUUUUUUUUUUUUUUUUUUUUUUUUUUUUUUUUAAUUGGGUUUUAUGGCUCUGGAGCAAGAUUUACUCAUUUGUUAUUUGUCAUUCUCAGGAGCAUUUCAACUGCUUUUCUUAAAGCUGAAUUCUUUAUAAAGGAGAAGUGAGUAGAAACCCUGAGCUGAGUCCCAGGUCUGGCAUAACGUUUUGUAAUGGACACUGACACACUGAGGCUGCUCCACUUAAGGUAUGGUAUGAGCCAGGAGCUAAUCCCGUGGCUGUGGAAUGAGUGUUCACAUGGAGCCAUCCUGACAUGGAGUCUAUAGCCAGCCACAGCUAUUGCAGCUGCUGUGCAAGCAAGUCCUAAAGGACAAGCCUUGUCCCAGUGACUGUGACAGAUAAGACAGACAAUGGGCACAAGGAAGGCACCACUAUCAGGGAAGAAUGGAUACUGUUCAACCUGCAGGGAACAGGCCUCACAGAACUGUCCAGGAAUGUCCUUCGUGCCAGCUGAUUCCAGGAAUGUGACACUUUUGGAACUGUUUGUGUCAGGACUUCCUGCUUUGACACCUUUGAUUUCUGAGACUGCCUCAUACAGGAAACCCCAGAUCUGCUGCUCCUCUCCACAAGGAUUUUUGUAUCCAACAACUCUCCUGUCUUCUUUGGAUAUUGAAACAAGAUGAAAAGGCUUGAAUGUUUCCUUGGCAAAGAGGUGGAUGGAACUCCUUUAAUCUGUUCUGAUUCUAACACCUGGAAGUCAACUGACCAAUCACCUCUUCUGCUAACAGGCUGCAAAGCAACAUUCUACUACUGUGGAAUAUUCUUUGUGAUGAAAACAGGAGGAUCGGGAAUGGGGGUUUUUUAACUUUUUUGGAUGAGUUUCUGUUACAAUUUUUAUCAUUAGUAUCAACACUUUAAAUGAGAAUAUUUAUAUGUUAAAAUAAACACAUUUUUUGCCCUGAAAUACUGGAAUAUGCCUCCUCAGCCUCUUCCUACCUGAGCUUUGCCACUGUGAAGAGAACCCACCCAUGGAUUUUAAGGCCAAAAGGACAAGUCAGAAUUUCUAACAGAGGAUGUGCACAGAGCAGCUCCUGCAGUUCAUCCUGCAGCCCAGGCCCUGAUUAAUGGAUCUUUUUUUAUAUAAUGUGGGAACUCUGCCUAUAGAAUGUCUGAGAAGCUGUUCUAGGGGUUUAUAACCUUGUGUCUUGUUCCUUGUGACAAGCUGCAAGUUGCCUGCUUAUCCUGGCCUCUGUGGACAAAACCCUUCAUGUGUGUGACUGCACGUGGAGAAUAUGAGAGCACUGUAGUUUGGGGCUGGUUUUGUCAGAUCUGUUCCUACAGCAGCUCCCCCACACUGCCUGUCAAAGAGGAGUGCUGGUGCAGCUGAGGUCUGUAGGGUCACUUGGUACAUGGCCAGGGGCUCACAUGCAAGAUCCCUUAACAACUCUGAUUAGAUUGAAUUUUCUUUCUUUGAAGUUCAGUGUCACUUAACACCUUCAAUUUAGCUUGAAAAAAAAAAAAAGCAGAAAUAUCUAAAAUAAAGGUGUUUUGGAAAGUGCAUGCAGGCAAUCGUGGGGUUUUUUUUUUUCCAGACUCAGUCUCAGGUGAUGUCCUCAGCUUCUACUGCUGUUAAACACUACCCCAGACUUCCUUCCAGUUGCCAUCCCUAGUCUGUGCUAAGCAUCAUGAAUAUGAAAACAGAUCCUGCUGAAUAAAACACCCUGGUCCUCACAUGCACACCAUUUUGUCUCCGAAAAACAGUUAACAGCUGAUGUACUUAACCUGAGCCACCACUGCUGCUGCUUUGCCUGUGCUUGGAAAAUGCAGAGCAUCUGGAUUGGUGACAGUGUGACCACUGCCCACAAAGAACUGAUCCGAGGCAGCACAGAGCAAAGGGUGCAGGGUGAGAUCCCAACAAGGAAAGGAAAAAACAAAAAAAGAAAUUUCUCUUCAAGUACAAGUAAUUCUGUUAAUGUCUGCAAGGAGUCUCUCACUGCAGGGGAUGCUUGCUGAAACACCUUGCACUGUUAUCAGCUGCUUUCAGUGCACAGCUCCUGUCCAGAACAGUUCAAUGUGGUACAUUCAAUCAAACAGAAAUUGUAUGUCAGACACGUAUGUGGAAUAAAAUCAGAGCAGGAAAUACAUUUUGCAGGCAAAUUUAUUGAUUUCUUUUAUUGAAGCCCUGUGGUACUUUGCUGUAGUUUCUGAUGAAUAAAUAGCUGCUUCACAGAGGAAAUACAGUUAUUUAAACAAACUUCUGUCAUGGUUUAAAUGCCUUUCUCUGCAACAUCAAGUUUGAAAAGUUUGUUAUGUCAAUGGAGCAGGAUUUGUCCUUUGACCUGGAAGCCCAACAGACAGAAAGUCCUCUUAUUACUGAGGUUAAUGCUGCUUUAUAUGCAGCUUAAAAAAAAAAAAAAAAAAGAAAGUGUGUGUUGUUUCCUGAAUACUAAGGAUACAAGAAAAACAGUUGUGGUGUCCCAGGUAAAUAAUGUUGUCAGGUGCAAUGAUUUAAAUCCCACAUUAUAACUGUGAGGAGUCCUCUUGGCUAUUUGUCCUGGUGUCAUGGGCCCAUGUCCUAGCUCAGAGUGACAAACACUGAAGGAGUCUCUGAUGAUUAGUGUACCUGCAAAAUUUAUUAUAUUUUAUUAAAAUUUAUUAUAUUUUUCAUGUGAUAUUCCUGUAAACUUCACUUUUUCUUUCUGUCUGUAAACUCAGACUGGUUCUUUAAGCUCAAUAGCAACACCCUCAUAGGAAAAAAUGCAGAGAAAUUCAGAGUUGUAGCAACCCAGUUUGUAAAUUAGGGCCAUCAGUAAGCCCAUGGAGCUGGCCACAAUGCAUUUAGUCUGCACUUAAAGGAAGGCAUCACCAGACUCCUCAGGCUGCUCAUCUGCCUUACGAGAGAAGCUGAGCACUGCAAGGACUCUCUGCUGCACUUCUGAACCUGUGGAAGAGUAAUUUGUUUUCUCCUUAAACUUCCUGUGACUUUUGCUCAGCGUUUUUAAAGGAAAAAUUAAAGACUUACUGUUUUCUAUAGCCUACCUUUUACAAAUAUACUCUCAGUUCAUCCA